rnacentral:rRNA from 1 species
UACGUAGAGUGCGAGCGUUGUCCGGAAUUAUUGGGCGUAAAGAGCUUGUAGGCGGUCUGUCGCGUCUGCUGUGAAAAUCCGGGGCUCAACCCCGGACUUGCAGUGGGUACGGGCAGACUAGAGUGUGGUAGGGGAGACUGGAAUUCCUGGUGUAGCGGUGAAAUGCGCAGAUAUCAGGAGGAACACCGAUGGCGAAGGCAGGUCUCUGGGCCACUACUGACGCUGAGACGCGAAAGCGUGGGGAGCGAACAGG